GAAGAACUAGACAUUAUGACUCAAAAGACCUCAACUCCAAGACCAUCCUCUGAUGAAAAAGAACAAGACAAUCUGACUAAGGACUUCAAUGCUGAUACCAAAAAAAGAACUGAGAAAACUGGUACGGAUCAAAAAAAAUUUCCCGGAAAGAAAUUUCAUCGGAAGCCUUGGAAUGAUGAAGAAAAGGCAGCAGUGUGGCGUCAGCGAGGAGCAUACAUCACUUAGGGGGCAGGUGGAGACAGGCUUGAGCAACGAGACGUGGAGGGUUGGGUGAAUCUUUAAGGACUGUAGAAGCUUCAACUGGACAGAAGUGGGACUGAUGAUCUUGGUAAUUGGGAAAGGGGGAGUGAUCUUACGGGGAGUGAGCUUACAGUAUUCAGUUUGAAGUGGAAGGUCGUGAGAAGAAAGGCAGACAGAUUGGCACACCUUGUAUUCGGGCGUCGGGGAGCGAUGCCGGUGCGCCAGCUGUUUAUUGCGUGCAGUGGACCGGGUCAACGCCGCACGUCUUUCCACACUGGCUGGAUUCUCUGGAGAUGUUCCUUGGUUGCGGGCACUGCCACUGCCUGCUCCUGUUCUUUGAAUAAUGCCGGUUGGCAACCAUAGCAAGCCAUGAAUGGGGACAUACCGGUAGCGGAACUGGUGAGGGACUUGUGGGCAUACUCAAUCCAUGGGAGGAAUGAGCUCCAGGAGGAUGGGUUGCGUGUGGGAACACAACGGAGGGCUGAUUCGAGGGAUUGGUUUGCCUGCUCCGUCUGGCCGUUGGUCUGCGGAUGAUAUCCUGACGACAAGCUGGCUGCUGCGCCCACCGCUUUACAGAAUUCCUUCCAUACCAGGGAUGAGAACUGAGGACCUCUGUCAGAGACAAUAUCGAUGGGAAUACCGUGGAGUCUAAAGACAUGCUGGACAAGGAGGUUAGCAGUUUCGAAGGUGGAUGGUAGUUUGGGUAGGGAUACGUAAUGGACAGAUUUGGAAAAGCGAUCGACAAUAGUGAGAAUUAUAGUUACCUUCAGAAGGAGGUAGAGUGGUAACGAAGUCCAGAGCAUAUGGGACCAAGGGCGGCUAGGGAUAGGCAAUGGACGCACCAGCCCAGCUGGGGGCAGGUGUGAAGACUUCCCUUGGGCACAGACGGAGCAGGCUUGGAUGAACUCCCGGGUGUCUGGAACAAGGCUGGGCCACCAGAAAUGCUGCCGGAUGAAGUGAAUGGUGCGGGUUGUGAGCCCACUGUAGAACGUCAGAGCGUGCGAAAUCUGGUACGAGCAGGUGGUUUGGAGGCCCAGUCUUGGGAUCCGGGUGAGUAUUUUGGGACUCCUUAACCACGUGUUUGAUCUGCCAAGUGGCUGCUCCAACAAAGCACGAGGAAGGAAGAAUGGGUUCCGGUUUGUCGGGGCUGGUGGGGUGUGAGUAAAGUCGAGACAGGGCAGGAAGGAGAGAUUGAAAUUAAACCUGCUCAAGAAGGGAGCCCAGUGAGCUUGUCGAGGGUUAAGGCGUUUGGCGGAACGGAGGUAAGAGAGAUUCUUGUGGUCUGUCCAAAUGAUGAAUGGUAGUUCAGUCCCCUCCAGCCAGUGCCUCCACUCUUCCAAGGCCCAUACAAUGGCCAGUAGCUCUCGGUUGCCGAGAUCGUAGUUCCUUUACGACUUUGCGUACAUGGAUGCGGUGUUCUUCGGGGGAGCGGGAGAAAAUGAGACUGUCAUCGAGGUAUACAAACAUGAACCGGUUGAGCAUGUCACAGAGGACGUCAGUAAUAAAUGUUUGGAAAAAUGCAGGGGUGUUGGUUAAACCGAAUGGCAUGACCAGAUACUCAAAGUGUCCGAAAGGGUUAUUGAAGGCGGUCUUCCAUUCGUCCCCCUCUCGGUUACAGAUGAGGUGGUAGGUGCUUCAUAUAUCCAAUAUAGUGAAUACCUGAGCGUCACUGAGGGGUUCAAAUGAGGGGUCAAUGAGGGGAAGUGGAGAUUUAUUCUUCACGGUGAUAUCAUUGAGACCACGGUAGUCGAUACAUGGGCGGAGAGUGGUGUCUUUCUUUUCAACAAAAACGAAGCCGGCCCCAACUGGAGAAGAGGAAGGUUGUAGAGACAGCUGGAGGGAAGAGGC